rnacentral:tRNA from 1 species
GAGGAUGUAGCUUCGUGGUACAGUGUUUGCCUAGCAUGCAUAAAGCCUUGAGUUCAAUCCUCAGCACCAUCG